rnacentral:misc_RNA from 1 species
UACCAUUUGUGGGGAAAUGAGGG